UACGGAGGGUCCGAGCGUUAAUCGGAAUUACUGGGCGUAAAGCGCGCGUAGGUGGUUCAGUCAGUCAGAUGUGAAAGCCCCGGGCUCAACCUGGGAACUGCACCUGAUACUGCUGAGCUAGAGUACGGUAGAGGGCAGUGGAAUUUCCGGUGUAGCGGUGAAAUGCGUAGAGAUCGGAAGGAACACCAGUGGCGAAGGCGACUGCCUGGACUGAUACUGACACUGAGGUGCGAAAGCGUGGGUAGCAAACAGG
rnacentral:rRNA from 1 species